CCUACGGGAGGCAGCAGUGGGGAAUUUUGGACAAUGGGCGAAAGCCUGAUCCAGCAAUGCCGCGUGAGUGAAGAAGGCCUUCGGGUUGUAAAGCUCUUUUGUCAGGGAAGAAACGGUGAGAGCUAAUAUCUCUUGCUAAUGACGGUACCCGAAGAAUAAGCACCGGCUAACUACGUGCCAGCAGCCGCGGUAAUACGUAGGGUGCAAGCGUUAAUCGGAAUUACUGGGCGUAAAGCGUGCGCAGGCGGUUUUGUAAGUCUGUCGUGAAAUCCCCGGGCUCAACCUGGGAAUUGCGAUGGAGACUGCAAGGCUAGAAUCUGGCAGAGGGGGGUAGAAUUCCACGUGUAGCAGUGAGAUGCGUAGAGAUGUGGAGGAACACCGAUGGCGAAGGCAGCCCCCUGGGUCAAGAUUGACGCUCAUGCACGAAAGCGUGGGGAGCAAACAGGAUUAGAUACCCUGGUAGUCCACGCCCUAAACGAUGUCUACUAGUUGUCGGGUUUUAAUUAACUUGGUAACGCAGCUAACGCGUGAAGUAGACCGCCUGGGGAGUCGGUCGCAAGAUUAAAACUCAAAUGAAUUGACGGCUGAGAGNGCGAGACGACGACGAGGGAGGAGG
rnacentral:rRNA from 1 species